rnacentral:rRNA from 1 species
GAUGAACGCUGGCGGCGUGCCUAAUACAUGCAAGUCGAGCGAACGGACGAGAAGCUUGCUUCUCUGAUGUUAGCGGCGGACGUGUGAGUAACACGUGGAUAACCUACCUAUAAGACUGGUAUAACUUCGGGAAACCGGAGCUAAUACCGGAUAAUAUUUUGAACCGCAUGGUUCAAUAGUGAAAGACGGUCUUGCUGUCACUUAUAGAUGGAUCCGCGCUGCAUUAGCUAGUUGGUAAGGUAACGGCUUACCAAGGCAACGAUGCAUAGCCGACCUGAGAGGGUGAUAGGCCACACUGGAACUGAGACACGGUCCAGACUCCUAAGGGAGGCAGCAGUAGGGAAUCUUCCGCAAUGGGCGAAAGCAUGACGGAGCAACGCCGCGUGAGUGAUGAAGGUCUUCGGAUCGUAAAACUCUGUUAUUAGGGAAGAACAUAUGUGUAAGUAACUGUGCACAUCUUGACGGUAACUAAUCAGAAAGCCACGGCUAACUACGUG